AACGCUGGCGGCGUGCCUAAUACAUGCAAGUCGAACGCUUCUUUCCUCCCGAGUGCUUGCACUCAAUUGGAAAGAGGAGUGGCGGACGGGUGAGUAACACGUGGGUAACCUACCCAUCAGAGGGGGAUAACACUUGGAAACAGGUGCUAAUACCGCAUAACAGUUUAUGCCGCAUGGCAUAAGAGUGAAAGGCGCUUUCGGGUGUCGUUGAUGGAUGGACCCGCGGUGCAUUAGCUAGUUGGUGAGGUAACGGCUCACCAAGGCCACGAUGCAUAGCCGACCUGAGAGGGUGAUCGGCCACACUGGGACUGAGACACGGCCCAGACUCCUACGGGAGGCAGCAGUAGGGAAUCUUCGGCAAUGGACGAAAGUCUGACCGAGCAACGCCGCGUGAGUGAAGAAGGUUUUCGGAUCGUAAAACUCUGUUGUUAGAGAAGAACAAGGACGUUAGUAACUGAACGUCCCCUGACGGUAUCUAACCAGAAAGCCACGGCUAACUACGUG
rnacentral:rRNA from 1 species